CCUACGGGAGGCAGCAGUGGGGAAUUUUGGACAAUGGGCGAAAGCCUGAUCCAGCAAUGCCGCGUGAGUGAAGAAGGCCUUCGGGUUGUAAAGCUCUUUUGUCAGGGAAGAAACGGUGAGGGCUAAUAUCCUUUGCUAAUGACGGUACCUGAAGAAUAAGCACCGGCUAACUACGUGCCAGCAGCCGCGGUAAUACGUAGGGUGCAAGCGUUAAUCGGAAUUACUGGGCGUAAAGCGUGCGCAGGCGGUUUUGUAAGUCUGAUGUGAAAUCCCCGGGCUCAACCUGGGAAUUGCAUUGGAGACUGCAAGGCUAGAAUCUGGCAGAGGGGGGUAGAAUUCCACGUGUAGCAGUGAAAUGCGUAGAUAUGUGGAGGAACACCGAUGGCGAAGGCAGCCCCCUGGGUCAAGAUUGACGCUCAUGCACGAAAGCGUGGGGAGCAAACAGGAUUAGAUACCCUGGUAGUCCACGCCCUAAACGAUGUCUACUAGUUGUCGGGUCUUAAUUGACUUGGUAACGCGAGCUACGCGUGAGUAGACCGCCGUGGAGGUACGGUCGCGAGAAGUUAAACGUACGAAGUAAGUAAGUAGACGCGAGAGACGACGACGACGACGACGACGGAGGGAGGAGG
rnacentral:rRNA from 1 species